CCUUACCCGCUGAACUUAAGCAUAUCACUAAGCGGAGGAGAAGAAACUAACCAGGAUGCCCCUAGUAAUGGCGAAUGAAGCGGGCAGAGCUCACGCCGCCAAUCUGGAGGUCUUUGACAGACUCUGUCUCUUACGACCCCCCGAAUUGUAGUCUAGAAAGGCGCCAUCGGCCGCGUCCGCCGCUCAAAUCCCUUGGAACGGGGUAUCGGAGAAGGUGAGAAUCCUGUGCCGUGGCGGAUAGCGGUCGCACGAUGCGUCCUUGCAGAGUCGGGUUGCUUGGGAUUGCAGCUUGAAGUGGGUGGUAAAUUCCAUCUAAAGCUAAAUACUGGCGAGAGACCGAUAGCGAACAAGUACCGUGAGGGAAAGAUGCAAAGAACUUUGAAAAGAGAGUUAAAGAGUGCUUGAAAUCGGCAAGAGGAAACCCGUUUGUGCCCGGCAUCGCGCCGUCGACUCAGCCGCGCUCUUGGGCGCGGUGCACUUUGUCGGCGCGGGUCAGCCGCGGCUCCUCCUGCUUCACGAGGCUGUUUGCAGGGCCUCACGGCGAGCAUUCAGCUGGGUCGCGGGGGUGGCGCCGGUUGACGGAACGGGCACAACCGACCCGUCUAGAAACACGGACCAAGGAGUCUGACACGUGUGCGAGUACCCGGGUGGCAAGCCCGCGUGCGCAAUGAAAGUGAAGGGCGUGCCCCGCCAACCGACCUUGAUCUUCUGUGAAGGGUUUGAGUGUAGCACAUGCGUCGGGACCCGAAAGAUGGUGAACUAUGCCUGAGGAGGGUGAAGCCAGAGGAAGCUCUGGUGGAGGCUCGUAGCGAUACUGACGUGCAAAUCGUUCGUCGAACUUGGGUAUAGGGGCGAAAGACUAAUCGAACCAUCUAGUAGCUGGUUCCCUCCGAAGUUUCCCUCAGGA
rnacentral:rRNA from 1 species